rnacentral:lncRNA from 1 species
AAACAACAAGCACUUAAUAAAAAAGAGAAAAGCAAAUUACACCAAAAAAAUUCACACAGAAAAAAAUGGAGUCAUCAAAGAAGCUUGUUGCCAUGUUUCUUGUUUGCAUUGUUGUGUUAUCCUACUCUGUGCAUGUUUCCAAUGCUGCUGAUGAAGAUAGUGCAAGGAGAUUUGUGGAUAAAGCUCACGCAGAUUAUGCAGCUUGUUUCAAUGACUGUGACGAGGACUGUACUCAUCAAGGAUUAGGAUUCACAUUUUGUGAGGUUAAAUGUGACGAGGAUUGCACUGAUCAAUUGCUUAAAGGUAUAUAUACACACCAUUUACUUCCACCGUUUAAACAAAAAUGAUUUGUUUUGACCUGACACGUAUGUUUGAUUUUACCUAUAUAUUCAUUUACUCCCAUCAUUUAAACAAGAAUAAUCUGUUUUGACCUGACACGUAUGAUGGAUUUUACCUGUAUAUUCAUUUAUUCCCACCGUUUAAACAAGAAUGAUUUGUUUUGGACUGAUGCGUACGUUGGAAUUCACCUAUAUAUUCAUUUACUCUUGCUGUUUUAAUAAGAAUGAUUUGUUCUGACCUGACUCAUAUGUUGGAUUUUACCAAUAUAUUCACUUACUCCCACUGUUUUAAUAAGAAUGAUCUGUUUUGACUUGAUACGUGUGUUGAAUUUUACCUGUAUAUUCAUUUACUCCCGCUGUUUAAACAAGAAUGAUCUGUUUUGACUUGAUGUGUAUGCUGGAUUUUACCUGUAUAUUCAUUUACUCCUGCUGUUUUAAUAAGAAUGAUUUGUUCUGACCUGACUCAUAUGUUGGAUUUUACCAAUAUAUUCACUUACUCCCACUGUUUCAAUAAGAAUGAUCUGUUUUGACCCAACACGUACGUUGGAUUUUACUUAUAUAUUCAUUUACUCCUGCCACUUAAACAGGAAUGAUCUAUUUUGACCUGACAUGUGUGCUGGAUUUUACCUAUAUAUUGUCCGUCCUACUUGGUGGAUGAUCUAUAUAUUUUAAUACACAAAAUUUAAGAAAGUAAAGAAGUCUUUUGAAUCUUAUGAUCUUAUGUAAAAUGUAUCAAAACAUGCAUGCCACGUGAAAAAUACCAUAAAAGAAAACGAUCAUUCUUUUUUAAACGGACUGAAAAAGAAACUAGGUCAUUCCUUUUGAAAAUGAGGAUAUACUCCCUCCGUUUCCAAAAGAAUGAUCUAUAUAUUCUGACUUGGCAGACGGACUUUAAGAAAGUAUAGAAGUCUUUUCAAUCUUGUGGCCUUAUAUAAAAUGUACCAAAACAUACGUAUCACGUGAAAAGUUGAAACUAAAAUAUUGCCAGAAGAAAACGUUCAUUCUUUUCGAAACAGACUAAAAAAGAAAGAAAAUGAGGAUAUACUCCCCCCAGUUAAAAAAGAAUGAUCUUUUUUUAUUUGACAUGCAGUUUAAGAAAAUAAAGAAGUCUUUUAAAUCUCGUGGUCUUAUAUUAAAGUUAUGUCAAAUGUAUGGUCUUAAACAUGCAAUUCGAACAAUUGGAAUUACUCCCUACGUGCAUUAAUAGUUAUCCAAAAUCUAAUGAUCGUGGAUGCUCGAAAGAUUUAAACAUGUAUAUUAGAUUUUACCAAUAUAUAUUAUCCAUCCAGCAUGGUGGAUGAAAUUUUAUCUUUUAUUAUAUAUAAUUCUGUCUCUCAUAGUAUAAUAAAUAACAUGUUAAUUACUAUUUUUCUAACAUGUUAUUAUGUUCUAUUUUUGCAGCUAGAAAAUUGAAGAAUUAAAGUCUUGGAAAUGGACCAAAUAUAGAGGGGAAAAAGAGAAUAAACAGGACAGUGGAUUUUUUAUUUCUACUAAUUAAUUAAUUCAAUUACUAACCACUGUACUUGUAAUUUUUAAGAUUCAAUAAAUUCGUUUUUUGUCUCUAAUUACUGUUGAUUCAAUUUAGUUAAUGUCAUUUAUUUUAAAUUUUAUCUUAUGUCUUCUUUAUAUAUUGGACAAUUGGGGUGUGUAUCGAUCAAUUUGCUUCAAUUUUGUAUAUUAUCGGUUUGAUUCAUCAAUCUUCGAUUUGUAAAAUUGCUAAAUCGAUUAUCAAAUCAAUAAGAUAUUUGUUAUCAGUUUUCGGUUAUCGAUUUUUGAUCCUUAUCGGUUUGAUUUUCGGUUUAAUCGAUAAGAAAAUAUUCUCCUAAUUUUUUUUUUAGUUUCUCUUAUUUUCAUUUGUUCUACACUAAAGCAACUACUGCUGAGCAGAGAAUGAGAAGAGCGAUAGUUUAUUCAUAAGUUAAUAGAGAAUAUAUAGGCUCUAAUACAACACUGAACCCUAAAGUAAUACUACAGCUAAUUACACUCCUAUAGUGAUAAAAUAACUAACUACAGUUGUACAAGCAGAUAACUAAUAAUAUAAUUACAAAUUAUACUCGUAUAUCUUUUUUACACCCCUGCGAGUUGGUGUUGACAUCUACAAUACCCAACUUAUCAAACAUACGAGUGAAAGAAGCAUGUGGAAGUGGCUUGGUUAGAACUUCAACAACUUGAUCAGCAGCAUGUAAGUGCUUGACUUCAACCUCUUUGUGUUGCACUGCUCAUGGACAAAGUGGAAAUCGAUGGUAAUAUGCUUCAUCUUACUAUGAAAGACAGGAUUCUCGCAGAUGUAUGUAGUUCCAAUAUUAUCACAGAGUAUGCACGGAAUGCAAGCAAGGGAAAAACGAAGCUCACGCAGUAGGUUGUUGAUCUAGUUGGUUUCUGUAAGAGUAGCAACUACAACUCGGUAUUCAGCUUCGGAUCGUUGCUUCUUGGAGGACCACGAGACUGGCGUACUUCGAAGGUAUAUAACAUAGCCAGUUGUGGAAGUUCUGUCUAUAGGGUAACCAUCCUAAUCAGAGUCAGAGUACACCAUAAUUUGACUAUUGGUCUCAUGGGUUAUUCUACUGAGAUCUUGUCAGGUCCGUUGUAGUCCUGAGAAAUGGCUAAACUGCGAGCAUCAGUUGUGAUGUGAUGGUUAGCCCCGGAGUUAACAAUCCAUGGAUCUUGUUGCUGUGAAAUAUGAGAAGCAUAAUUAGUACGAGCCUUAAAGUGUUUGUGAGGCUGGCAAACAAAGCAUUAGAAUUCCUGCACACUGCCUUCGCAAACGAAUCACAUACUAGAAUUAUCAGUCUCCAAGAUCAAUUUGCCUGUAUUACAAAAGAUUCUUGGUCUGUCACUGACUAUCUACGUGACAUACGUUCCAUUGCCGAUGAACUUGCAAUUGGUGGAGCUCCAAUCACAUAUUUGCAACUUACCGUGCGAAUCCUGCAAGGCCUUGGUCCUGAAUAUAACGCUAUUUCUGCGGCCAUCCGAUCACGUGAAACAAUUAUCACCUAUGAAGAACUCUGUGAGAAACUUCUUGAUCAUGGGAUCUUUCUUAAACAGGAAGAAGCCAAAUGGAAACCUACUACUGUAAUUACUCAACGAAACAACUAAGCACCUUCCAGAAACAACAACAAUCGGAAGCAAGGAAGUGAUACCUCACAAGGUAGCCAACCAUGGUAUUCCCAUACAGCUCGAGACUCCUCAAAUACCCAACAAUGACACUCUCGUUGAAAUCAGCAACCCUAAAAUACUGACAGUUUUCUUCGCUAUCAACUCCGUGAUAAAAAAAUUGGGAUCGUACUCGUGUGAGCUUUAGAUCUCUGAUACUAUAAAGCAACUACUUCUGAAAAGAGAAUGAGAAGAGCGAUAGUUUAUUCAUAAUUUAAUGGAGAAUAUAUAGGCUCUAAUACAACACUGAGUCCUAAAGUAAUACAACAACUAAUUACAGUUCUAAAGUGAUACAAUGACUAAUUACCACUGUACAAGCAAAUAAGUAAUGACAUAAUUACAAAUUAUUCUCAUAUAUCUCUUUAUACUCUACUGUCAUGCAUAAAGUCUACUCAAAUCAAUAACAACUAAGACAACAACUAUAAAACUGAAAACAUAGCAAGGUAUGUAACUAAAUCCAAAGUCAUUAUUAUACAAUUAUGACUUAAAAUAUAAUUUUAAUAUAAUCUUAUUGGGUUAUCAGUUUAACCGUUAACUAAAAUCUUAAAACAGAAAAUCGAAUAGAUAGCCCAAUAAGAAAAAUUAUAAAAUCAUUUAAAAGUUGUAAACCCAAUAGUACGGUAUCAAUAAACCAAUAAUAUUCUUAUUGGUUCAGUUUAUUAGUUGAGCCUAUCUUUGCACACCUUUUUGUCCGGUAUUAGCUUUUCGAAAUGGUGUAGCCUUUUAGGGGUUGUUUGGUAGAGAGAAAAGAUAAUAAUUACGAAAUAAAUUUUGAAACAACUUCAACACAUUAUAACUAUUAUUUAGGAUGAUUAUUAGUCAGGUUAUCUAUGAUAUUUGUCAUGACAAUCUUUAUUUUCUUAAUUUUUUUUUUAAAUACCACUAGACUGAGUGUCUAACGGACUUUUAUUAAUAAAAAAAUCCUCAAUGUGAAAAAGUACAAGUAAUGGGGGCUAGACCUUACCUUACCAAUCUUAAUAAGGUAACAAAACCCCUACUAAUUAACCAACAUGAAGAAAAUAAGAGCUAGAGAAAACUAGAUAUCCUAUGAUCAUCACAGAAUGUAUAAUACAUUCGAUGGUGAUAUUACUGAUUAGAACACUUACAUAAUUCCAAAAGAUAAACGUCAGUUGAGUUAUCAUCCCCAAACUUCCUUUUAUGCAUAUAUGAUUUAAAGAAGAUAGUUUGCCCGUCUAAUGUAACUUGAAGUUUUUUUUCCACGUUUUCUUCUUCAAGUCUAUCCAAAAGCACUUGAUAGUUCAUAAUUUCUUUCAUUUAUUGAAUUUUAUUGAAGUUGUUGACACUGUCAUAUGAUUUUUCUUAGCAAGUUGCAUCGGCAGGUUCCUUGGAAUAAAUUCUCCAGUAACCAUACCAUCUCAUUUAUGUUGCCUUCCAUGUGUCUUCUUUUUGUUCUUUCUACUUCCACUUCUUUGUUGCCUUGGUGAGAUAUCCCCAUCUCUAGCUACUUUUUCAAAACAUAUUUCCAACUCUUCCUCCUCCUCCUCAGAAAGGUCCUCAUCACUAGCAAAAGUAUUAAGUUCCUUCUCAGAAAGGUCCUCAUCACUAGAAAAAGCAUUAAGUUUUGACGUUAAAGUUUCUAACUCAUUCUUCUUUGCGUUCGCACUUUUAGGCACAAAUGCUGGAGUUUCUGGACUUAAUCUACUAUUCAAAGAAGAAGGUGAAACUCGCUCUUCUUUAUCAACCAAAUCCGCCCACCUAGAAGCAUUUAUCUCUCCUCGUGUUUCCUUAACAAUAAUCAACUCAUUUGUGACUUUAAUUGAGAGACUGAUGUCAUAUUUUUCUCUAUGUAAUGCUCCUUUUGGAUGUUUUUCGUAACAGACAAUGGCUCAAAAAUAUUUUGAGUUGGUAAAAUUAAAUUAGGAUUGACACAUCCAGUUUUACCUUUUUUCCAACUUGGAGAAUUUACUUUGACUUUCCAAAGAACCAAUGCGACUACCAAGUGUUUUCUUGUGUGUAAUAAGAUUUUCGUAAUUUCUUUCUCUAUAUACUUUGGCCAAUUUUUUGUUUCAGCCGAAGAUCUAUUGGAAAUAUUUUCAGCAUCUCUACCUCUAACAUAGUGGUGCGGGUCUGUGUAUGCUCUAUCAUUUUCGGACCCUACUUUAGUGGAAUUACACUGUUUAUAUUAUUAUUGUACUUUAUUCCACGUUUAUUCAGUGGCGGAUUGUAGCAUCCUCAAAAUUUGAAGUAAUUCAAUUUUAGCUUUUACGCUCUCGAAACACCAAUUUUUGACUUAAAUUGUACUUAGGUAUGUUAAAGGGGUGUACCGGAAGAGUUUUGAAAUUUUUGAAUGGGACUCGCGCUGAUUUCGGGCCUCAGAGGUAGUAAGCCUCUACAAUAUUGGCGUGUCACGGAGGCUAACCUCCAUGAUAACCUCCGUGACAUGAGGCUGGGCCUCCGCGAUAAGGUCCGUGACACGAAGGUUAGUCUUUGCAAUAACCUCCAUGCCACGAAGGCUGUGUUUUCCUGCGAUUAUUAUUUAAUGUCCAAAUGGGGAUUUUUGGUCUUUUUCCCUUUAAACCCAUCCCCCAUGACUUAAAACAUCCCAUAAACAUUAUAUUACCUUUGAAAAUCCCUAAACAAUCAUUCCGUAACAAGAGAGGAGACUAUCUAGGGCUUGAAGAUUUUGAUAUCCAAGGGUCAAAUAUCUCUACGUUUUCUUUUUUUUCAAGGUAUGUCAGACUAUGCUAACUCUCAUAGGCAUAAGUUUAUUUUUUUAAACAAGAAUUAAACUGUAUAUUUACGUAUGUGGAAUGGAUUUUGAAAACCCUUAAAGAGCAUUGUGACCCUAUUUUACGAUGAAAUUAUGUAUUUUCUAUAGGGGUUUUCUAGGUACUUGAAUCAUAUUCAUGUGUACAUAUAUGAGAUUUGAGAAUUGAAUUGAGAGCAUGAUUUUUUAUAUUCCAUCUAUUCUGAUGAAAUUACUUGUCUAAAUUUGUUAUGAAUUGUUCAAAUGGGUGAUUAAAAGCUUGAGACAUAUGUUUUUCUAUCAAUGGUGUAAUUACAUGAUUAUAUAAUCAAAUGAGAGGGUGCUUUCUUUUUUUAUAAAUGGUCUUUGUGUCUAACAUAAGAACUUUAUGUGAGUAAUGAAAGAGAUGGCCGUCCCAUGUUAAAUUCUUGAAAGAAAAAGAAUUUGCAUAAGUUUCAUUUGAUAUUUGAUAUAAGAACUCUCUCAUGUGAUAUUAAAAUCUUUUGAGUGGUCAUUAAUGUGUUUUUGAAUGAAAGAGCUAUGAUUAUGACAUGACAUGACAUGGCUUACAAGGCUGGGUAUGACAAUGCCUAUCACGGGAGGCCCUUAACAUGAAAGAGAUAAUAUUGAAAAGCAUGAAACAUGGUUUUAAAUGACUAAAUUGGACCUAAAGAGAGCGAGUUGAUUGCCUGAAGAAGGCAUGGGUUCAGAUAACCCAUAUCCCAAAACCGUGUUUUGCCGAUACGAGUUUUAUUAUAUAUUGUUCAGCAAGUGGAAUAAUGUAACACCCCACAAAAAUCAUCCAUCCGUUAGAUCGUGGUAAUAUGCUCUUAGAGUUAAAUGACUAGAAUUGUGUCAAACAAACUUAGUCUCAUUUUUGACUCCCAAUGUGAGUUACGUUUAAACCAUAUAUAAUUUUCCUAAUUUAGACUUAUUAUCAUGUGUAAAAUUGAAUAAGCUUUCCGUCGAGAUAAGAUUUGCCCAAAUUUGAUAUUCGGGAAAGAAGUUAUGGAUAAUUUAAGAUCUUAUCGUAAAACACCAUCAUUUUGGCGCUUGGCACGUCGCGUAGUGGGCCUAUUUAGCAAUUGUCAAAUUCCAGUAGCAUAGCGCGAUUGUGGCGCGUCGCGCUGAAGUUUCAGGUCCCAACCAGUGGGACAACGCGAUAGCUAAUCCAAUUCAUUUAUUUCUAGUGAGCCACCGCGAUUGUGACGCGUCGCGGUGGCCAUGAAAUCGGGAUUUCAGUUAUAUUUUUUAUUCCAUCUCAUUAAGGGUACAUUGGGUAUUUUCCACCCCCUUAUCAUCUUAAACACGAGAUUUUAAUCUUAAAUGACCUCAUUAUUGAUAUUUUCAUCAAAAAUCAUCAAGAACACUCUCUAAGGUUUCAAUCUAAAAGCCCAAACAACUCAAGAUUCAACCUUGUGUUUUAGGAAUUGAUUGAAAAUUUGGAAUCCCCAAGCCGUGGGCAUCAAGAAUCAUCCUUUAAUUUUCUAAAUAGAGGUACGUGGGGUUUAUCCUAAAACUAUAUGGGCUUGUUGAAAACACCCAAUUAUGAUUUAAAAAUCAUCAAGCAUGAAUUUGUUAAAGGGGUUUUGAGAUCCAUGAUUUUAUUAUGCUUUAUGCAUGUUUAAUGAUAUUGUUGUUUAGGCCUUUCGGCCUUAUCCCCUUAAACUGAUUUACACUUAUAAGUAUAUGUAUGAAACUUGAAAUUGAAGAUUUGUUUGAGAGCACAAUUAAUGAAAAUCUCUCUCUUGUGAUAACCUUAUGUUUAUGAUCUUAUGGUCAUUAAUUGAAAUGCAUGAUUUAUGGCUUGAAAAUAGUUUACUCAAAUACCAUAGUAUUUUGAGCAUGAUUUAGAGAUUUAAGAGAGGGAGUUUCUUGAUGUAAAUACAUUUUGUUAAAAGAGAAAGAUUUGCAUGAGAUUAAAAGCUUUGACAUGAUCACCUUGCAUCAUUUAAAAUUUGACAAAGAGAGUUACAUACAUGUGUUUACAUGAGUUUUAAAGAAAGAGUUAUUUGAAAUGAUUCAUUGAUAUGAUGGUGCAGAAUUUAUGUUUUGUAAAUAGAGAUUGAAAUAUGCUAAAAAUGGCUCAGAGAUGUGACUUGCAAGUCAAUGGUAUAACGAUACCAUAUAAAUGUUUGCCAUAACAGAGUUAGAGUUUUUAGAGUAUGUUUUUAGAGAAUGCAUGUCUUAAAGAGUUAAAAAUGGGCAUAAAGAGAGUUAGGUGGUUGUCUGAAGAGGGAUAGAGUUCAAGUAACUCUUAACCUAAAACCAUGAUUUGCCGAUCCGAGUAUAUUAUUUUUACACUGGCGACGGCCGUGUGGCGUAGCAGAGUCAGAGACUCCAACCCUUGCGGCACACUUAGGUUGAAGGCUUUCCCGCCAAGUCAAUGACGGAUUCCAUAUAGCCCAUGGAAUUUCAAAAUUGUAGGGUAUACCAUCUAGCGUAGAAGUAAAACAAAGAAUGUCUCAGAGUUCAAAUGAUUUUCUUUCAGAGUUUUUUCAGAAAUGCCCAUGUGAUUUCUUACUAUAUGAUAUGUUUAUGAACUGUUUUUAAAUUGCUCUCAUAUAUAUUGAAUAUAAAUUAUUAUUUUGAAUUUGCUCUGCGUACCAGUACAUAUGUAUUGACCUCCUACCUCCCAGGUUCGGAGGCUCAGUCUAAGGGUUCGGCUAAUCAGUACAAUAUUCUAGAGAGAAGUGAUCCGUUCAGUGGUGAGCCUUCUUUAUUCCAGAAGGCUUGUUAUUUUAGAUUAUGUUAUUCCAUUGGUUUGGUCUACUGGGGACCUUGUCCCAGUUUUCAGAUAGUUGUCAGAUUUUCAUGUAGUAGAGAUUUCGCAAACUGUUCCAGAUGUUGUUUAGUUGAUUUUGGAUUCCAUUCCUUAUUGUUAAACUAAAUCCAGAGUAUGACCAUGUUUUCGUAUUAGAUUAUAUUUCUGCAUCUUCUUUAUUUAUGUGAAUGUUGUGCAUGAUUUACAGUUAGAGUAGGACGCCCAGGACUUCAUGGUUCGGGAUGUACGUCAUGGUCAGGCCCUAGAUCGGGUCGUGAUAAACUUGGUAUCAGAGCAUGUUUCAUAGUCCCAAGGUGUCUGCGAAAUCGCGUCGGAUAGAAUUUUGUUUAUGGGUGUGUAGCGCGCCACACUUUUAAGCAGGAGGAUACUAGGUGUUUAGGAAUGUUUCUCUUCUUUGUGGUUUGGUUCAUGCUUCAGAGUCUGAGUUUUCCCCUAAUCGGUAAUAUCUUAUGUUUUAGAAAAACAAUUAUGCCUCCCCGUCAUACUAUCGAUCAGAAUGCAUAGAUAGAUGAGGUCCAUCCCACUCAUAGGAUGAGAACCCGAAACAGAUCUCAGACUCUUGAUAUUGAUGCUACUCCAGGAGUCCCACCUACUUAGACCAUCCCACUUAGAGUGCCCAAAGCUCCCCGAAAGGGGACUAACCGCACUCAGCCUCGCGAGAGAGAGAGGUAUCUAAUGCAGAAUUCAAACAGUCCAUUCAUAUGCUUACCUAGUUGGUAGCCACACAAACUCAAUGGUUGAAAGAUAUUGGGUCUGCAUCUGUUAUAUCUGAAGCUACAAGAGUGGGCUAGUUCAUGAGUAUGAACCCACCCAAGAUUACUGGUACCAAGGUAGAAGAGGAUCCACAGGAGUUUGUGGAUAAGAUGGAGAAGAUCUUUAAGGUAAUGCAUAUAGAUGAGGUAGAGGGGGUUGAUUUAGUGGCUUACCAGCUUAAGGAUGUAGCGAACCAAUGGUAUAAUGAGUGGGAAUAUUCAAACAGUGAGCAUGCUGAGCCCACAGUUUGGGUCGAGUUCGUUGAAGCCUUCCUUGAUCAAUUCUUUCCUCUUGAGUUGAGGGAGGCCAAAGUCGAAGAGUUUAUAAAUCUAAAGCAGGGUAAGAUGAGUGUCCAGGAGUACACUUUGAGGUUCAACCAACUAGCCUAUUAUACUCCUGAGAAGACUAGUAACUUGAGAGCCCGAAUAAGAAAAUUUGCAUUCAGCCUUACAGAUGACUUAAUGCUUGAAUGUCAGGGAGCAAUGUUGAACCCGGACAUGGAUUUUGCCAGACUUUUAGUCCACAUACAGCAAGUUGAGGAAAAAAAAAAGAUCACUGAAUCUAGAGAGAAGGACAAACAAACAAGGAGAUCCAAAAUAGCAGACCAGAGCUGCAGUCAGUAGCAGAGUGGGAAUUAGGGUAACUAAUGGUUGAAGAAGAAAAAUUGGGGUAAUGCGCUGUCUACAACCAGUGCUCCGAUAUCCAGACCCCCAGCCGGAUAGCACACUUAGGAUUUUUAGUAUAGGAAGGGGCCGAGGAUGCAGGGUUUGCAAUCUCAGGAAAGUGUAGCUCGGACCUCUCAGACAUACCUUCGCUGUGAGAAAUAUGGGAGGAAUCAACCAGGGAGAUGUAAGUUUGGCGCUAUGGUGUGUUAUUCAUGCGGCCAUCCAGGCCACAUCCAGAAAGACUGUCCAGCAGCAAAGAGUAAUGUUGGUGGAGCCAAGUCACAGGCUAAUUCUUAUGUACCACCAUCACCUUAGAAGGGUGCUACUUCAGCCGCUGAAAAUUUCCGCAACCGGUUGUACGCCUUGACAAACUCCAGGAGGCAGAGGCCUUACCAGAUGUAGUAACUGGUACAUUGAAAAUCUUUUCUCGUGAUGUUUAUGUUUUACUUGAUCCCAAGUCUACUUUAUCUUCUGUGACCCCUUAUGUGGCUGUUGAUUUGGGUUUGAGCCCGAUGUGAUUUCUGAACUUUUCUCUGUUUCCACUUCGAUGGGAGAUUCUAUUAUAGAUAAAAGGGUGUUCUGAUCUGUGUUGUGACUGUUUGUGGCCGGGAUACUGUGGCAGACCUCAUAGAUCUUAAGAUGGUUGACUUUGAUGCCAUCUGGGAAUGGACAGGCUCCAUUCAUGUUAUGCCAUACUAAAUUGUAGGACCCAAAGAGUCACUUUUUCUUUUUUGAAUGAACCAGUCUUAGAAUGUGAGGGUCAUUGUUUAGCACCUAGAGGGAACUUUAUAUCUUAUCUUAGAGCCUGUAAACUUAUCUCAAAAGGGUAUUUGUACCAUCUUAUACGGGUUAAAGAUUCUAAUACCGAAAGUCCUUCCUGUUCGUCUGUCCCAGUGGUAAAUGAGUUCCCAUAAGUCUUUCCAGACGAUCUCCCGGGAAUACCACUUGAUAAAGAGAUAGAUUUUGGCAUUAAUUAAUUGCCAGAUACCCAUCCUAUCUCUAUUUCACCAUAUAGAAUGGCUCCAGCAGAGUUGAAAGAGCAGCUAGCAGAUCUUCUAGAUAAAGAUUUUAUCCUUCCUAGUGUUUCUCCCUGGGGUGCACCUAUACCUUUCGUGUGAAAGAAAGAUGGUUACUUGUGUAUGUGUAUAGAUUACUCAGCUGAAUAAGGUCACCGUUAAAAAUAAAUAUCCUCUUUCUAGAAUUAAUGACCUUUUUGACCAUCUUCAGGGUGCUAAAUACUUUUCAAAGAUAAACCUUCAAUCGGGAUAUCAUCAGUUGAAGGUUAGGGAGUCAGAUAUUCCCAAAAUAGCUUUCCGAACUAGAUACAGUCAUUAUGAAUUCUUAGUCAUGUCCUUUGAGUUGACUAACACCCCUGCAACUGUCAUGGAUCUAAUGAAUAAGGCAUUCCAUUAGUUUCUAGAUCUGUUUGUUAUAGUUUUCAUUGAUGAUAUUCUGAUUUAUUCUAAUAGUGAGGAGGACCAUGCCGACCACCUCCGAAUCAUCCUUCAAACUCUCAAACAUUAUGAGUUGUAUUUAAAAUUUUCCAAGUGCGAAUUUUGUCUUAAUGCUAUUGCUUUCUUGGGGCAUAGAGUGUCUAGUGAAGGGAUUAAGGUUGAUCCCCAAAAGAUUGAGAAAGUGAGAAAAUGGCCCAAACCCCCGACUCCAAUUGAUAUUCGAAGUUUCAUGGGUUUGGCAGGGUAUUACAGAAGAUUUGUAGAGAGUUUUUCUUCCAUAGCUGCACCACUUACUAAGUUGACUCAGAAAAAGGUGAAGUUCGUGUGGCCUGACUCCUGUGAGAAUAGUUUUGAGAAGUUAAAAGAUAAGUUGACAACUGCUCCUAUUUUGACUCUUUCGGAAGGUACAAAAGGGUUUGUUGUGUACUGUGAUGCGUCCCGUGUGGGACUAGGGUGUGUACUUAUGCAGCAUGGUAAAGUGGUGGUUUAUUCAUCUAGGCAGUUAAAAGUGCAUGAAUGAAAUUACCCCACCCAUGACUUGGAGUUAGCGGCUGUGGUGUUUGCACUCAAAAUCUGGUGGCAUUAUGUCUAUGGUUACAUGUUGAUAUAUUUACUUACCAUAAGAGCUUAUAAUAUGUUUUCUCAAAGAAAGAAUUGAACCUCAGGCAAUGGCACUGGAUGGAAUUUCUAAAGGAUUAUGACAUGAGUCUGCACUAUCAUUCGGGCAAGGAAAAUGCGGCAGCCGAUGCCCUUAGCAGGUUGUCUAUGGGCAGUCUUUCUCAUGUUGAAGAAGGGAAAAGAGAUAUGGUAAAGGAUAUUCACUGACUUGUAAAUCUUGGAAUGUGACUCUUGGAUUCCAAAGAUGGGGGAGUGGUUGUUCACGAGGUAGCUAAAUCUUCCCUUUGUGCUGAAGUUAAAGAGAAGCUAAUCAAAGAUCCCAUCUUGAUGCAGAUCAAGAAAGAUGUGGGUCAACAUAAGGUGAUGUCUUUGAAAUUAGUGGUGAUGGUAUUUUGAGAUAUCAAGGUAGAUUUUGUGUGCCAGAUGUAGAUGGUCUAAAGAAGAGAAUCCUUGACGAAGCUCACACUUUGAGGUAUGUUGUUCACCCAGUCUCUACCAAGAUGUAUCAUGAUCUGAAAGCCAUUUAUUGGUGGAAUAAUAUGAAGCGCGAUGUGGCUAACUAUGGUGCCAAGUGUUUGAACUGUGAACAAGUUAAGGUAGAUCAUAUGAGGCCUGGUGGUACUUCCCAAGAGAUUGCUUUGCCUUUAUAAAAAUGAGAAAUGAUCAAUAUGGAUUUCAUUACGGGACUUCCGAGGUCCCAAAAUCGAUAUGAUUCUAUUUGGGUAAUUGUUGAUCGGCUGACCAAGUCAGCUCACUUUCUGCCUGUUAGAACUAACUAUUUGGGAGAUGACUAUGCCAAGCUGUACAUUGAAGAGAUAGUCCGUUUGCAAGGAGCACCUGUAUCCAUCAUAUUUGACCGAGGUACGCAAUUUUCUUCAUAGUUUUAGAGGUCUUUUCAGAGGGGUUUAGGUACCCAAGUGAACCUAAGUACUUCUUUCCACCCUCAGACUGAUGGGCAAGCUGAGCGUACCAUUCAGACCCUUGAGGAUAUGUUGAGGGCUUGUGUAAUUGACUUCAAAGGUAGCUGGGUAGAUCACUUUUCUUUAAUAGAGUUUUCUUAUAAUAAUACCUACCAUGCUAGUAUUAAGAUGGCUCCAUUUGAAGCUUUGUAUGAGAGAAGAUGUAGAUCACCAAUAGGGUGGUAUGAAGUGGGUGGGACUCAAUUGUUCAGACCUGAUCUUGUUCAUCAGGCGAUGGAGGACAUGAAAUUAUUAGAGAAUGACUUAAAACAGCCCAGAGUAGACAAAAAUCCUAUGCCGAUGUUAGGUGAAGAGACUUAGAGUUUGAGGUUGGUGAUUGGGGGUUUCUAAAAGUCUCCCCUAUGAAGGGAGUUAUGCGAUUCGGGAAGAAAGGUAAGUUGAGUCCUCGCUAUAUAGGGCUAUACCAGAUUUUGAGAAGGAUAGGUGGGGUUGCGUAUGAGUUAGAGUUGCCUACAAGUUUGGGUUCUGUUCAUCCAGUAUUUCACAUAUCCAUGCUGAAGAAAUGUAUGGGAGACCAUUCCCUAGUGUUGUUUGUAGAGGAGAUCAAGGUGACAGACUCAUUAGCAUAUGAAGAGGAACCUAUUGCAAUCUUAGAUCGCCAAGUUCGGAAGUUGAGGAACAAAGAUAUAGUGUCGGUUAAGGUGUUUUGGAGAAAUCAGAAAGUUGGGGAAGCAACUUGGAAAUCAGAAAAUGACAUGAGAAAUAGAUACCCAGACUUAUUCGAUCCGAUGGAUGAUGAUAUGGAAGGUACAAUCCUUUUUUUAUUCUUUUAUGGCCUUAGUAUACUUUAAAUCGUUCUUGUCUGUGUUCUGCGUCAUCAUUCGGGGACGAAUAAUCCCAAGGGGGGAUAAUGUAACACCCUGCAAAAAUCAUCCAUGCGCUAGCUCGUGGUAAUAUACUCUUAGAGUUAACUGACUCGAAUUGUGUCAAAGAAACUUAGUCUCAUUUUUGACCUCCAAAGUGAUUAAAGUUUAAACCAAAUAUAAUUUUCCUAAUUUUGACUUUUAUCAUGUGAGAAAUUGAAUGAGCUUUCCGUCGAUAUAAGAUUCUCCAAAAUACGAUACCCGGGCAAGAAGUUAUGGCUAAUUUAAGUUCUAAUUGUAAAACACUGUCAUUUUGGUGCUUGGCGCGUCGCGGAGCGGACCUAUUUAGCAAUUGUCAAAUUCCAAUAGCAUAGAGCGAUUGUGGCGCGUUACGCUGAAGUUUCAGGUCCCAACCAGUGGGACAACACGAUGGCUCCACGUCGCGGUGACCUUAAGAAUCCUAUUCGUCAAUUUCUAGUGAGCCACCGUGAUUGUGGCACAUUGCGGUGGCCCAUCAAAUUGGGCUCUCAGUUAUUUUUUAUUCGGUCUCAUUAAGGGUACAUUGGGUAUUUUCCACCCGUUAUCAGCUUAAACAUGGGAUUUUAAUCUCAAAUGACCUCAUUAUUGAUAUUUUUAUCAAAAACCAUCAAGAACACUCUCUAGGGUUUCAAACUAAAAACCCAAACAACUCAAGAUUCAACCGUGUGUUUUAGAAACUAAUUGAAGAUUUGGAAUCCCCAAGCCGUGCGCAUCAAGAAUCAUUCUUUAAUUUCCUAAAUAGAGGUACGUGGGGUUUAUCCUAAAAUUACAUGGGCUUGUUAAAACACCCAAUUAUGAUUUAAAAAUCAUCAAGCAUGAAUUUGUUAAAGGGGUUUUGAGAUCCAUGAUUUUAUUAUGCUUUAUGCAUGUUUAAUGAUAUUGUUGUUCUGGCAUUUAGGCCAUAUCCCCUUAAACUGAUUUACACAUAUAAGUAUAUGUAUGAAAUUUGAAAUUGAAGAUUUCUUUGAGAGCACAAUUAAUGAAAAUCCCUCUCUUGUGAUAACCUUAUUUUUAUGAUCUUACGGUGAUUGAUUGAAAUGCAUGAUUUAUGGCUUGAAAAUAGUUUACUCAAAUACCAUAGUAUUUUGAGCACGAUUUAGAGAUUUAAGAGAGGGAGUUUCUUGAUGUAAAUAUAUUUUGUUAAAAGAGAAAGAUUUGCAUGAGAUUAAGAGUUUUGACAUGACCACCUUGCAUCAUUGAAAGUUUGACAAACAGAGUUACAUACAUAUGUUUACAUGAGUUUUAGAGAAAGAGUUCUUUGAAAUGAUUCAUUGAUAUGGUUGUCCCGAAUUAAUAUUUUGAAAACAGAGAUUGAAAUAUGCUAAAAAUAGCUCAGAGAUGUGACUUAGAAGUCAAUAGUAUGAUGAUACCAUAUAAAUGUAUGCUAUAACAGAGUUAGAGUUUUCAGAGUAUGUUUUCAGAGAAUGCAUGUCUUAAAGAGUUAAAAAUGCGCAUAAAGAGAGUUAGGUGGUCGCCUGAAGAGGGCUAGAGUUCAAGUAACUCUUAGCCUAAAAUCGUGAUUUGCCGAUCCGGGUAUAUUAUUUUUAUGCUGGAGACGACCGUGUGGCGUAGCAGAGUCAGAGGCUCUAACCUUUGUGGCACACUUAGGUUGGAGGCUUCCCCGCCGAGUCAAUGGCGGAUUUCAUAUAGUCCGUCAAAUUUUAGAGUUGUAGAGUAUACCACCUAGCGCAGAAGUAAAACAAAGAAUGUCUCAGUGUUCAGAUGAUUUUCUUUCAGAGUCUUUCAGAAAUGCCCAUGUGAUUUUUUACUAUAUGAUAUGUUUAUCAACUGUAUUUAAAUUGCUCUCAUAUAUGUUGAAUAAAAUUAUUAUUUUGGAUUUUCUCUGUGUACCAGUACAUCUGUAUUGACCCCUUACCUCCCAGGUUCGGAGGCUCAGUCUAAGGGUCCGGCUAAUUAGUAGAAUAUUUCAUAGAGAAGUGAUACGUUUAGUGGUGAGCUUUCUUUGUUCCAGAAGGCCUGUUAUUUCAGAUUAUGUUAUUCAAUUGGUUUGAUCUACUGGGGGCCUUGUCCUAGUUUUUAGAUAGUUAUCAGAUUUUCAUGUAGUAGAGAUUUCUCAGACUGUUCCAGAUGUUGUUUAGUUGAUUUCGGAUUUCAUUCCUUAUUGUUAAACUAAAUCCAGAGUAUGACCAUGUUUCCGUAUCAGAUUAUAUUUCUGCAUCUUCUUUAUUUAUGUGAAUGUUGUGCAUGAUUACCAGUUAGAGUAGGACGCCGGGCCUUCAUGGUUCGGGAUGUCCGUCACUGCCAGUCCCUAGUUCAGAUCGUGACAGAUAACAUGGUAUGUCGGCAAGUUGGACAUGCUUUUUUUCAUGAUACUCCAAUCCUUGCGGCUACUCGGAUCGGGGGCUUAGCCAAAGAGUUAAUGGUGGAUCCAUAUAGCCCAUGGAUAAUCAUGUUUGUAGGGUGUACCAUCUAGCUCAGAACUAAAGAACAAAGUUGAGUUAGUAUUUUACAAGCAUGAAUUGAAGCUCUUUAUGUUAUGCCUAUGUGUUUUUUAUAUAUAUAUGAUAAACUGUACGUUUUACCAUAGCUCUUAAUUACUUUACAUGUAAUAUACGCUAUUUUGGGUUAGUUCUAUAUACCAAUACAAUCCAAGUAUUGACCUCUCCCCAAUACAAGUUCUGAGGCACAAUCCUGUGGUCUGAUUUAGCAGUAAAUUACUCCCAGACAUCCAGAGUUGGUGAGCCUCCCUUACUUCGGAAGAAAUCUUACCCAUAUGUUGUUUCCUUUGAGUUUUAUGAUCCGGCCGGGGGCCUUGUUCGGAUUUAGAUGGACUAGUAUGUUCAGUUCAGUAGAGGCUUCGAAGAUUCAUUUAUAUUGGAUUUGGGUUUUCUUAUGGAUUGGUUUCAUGAAGUAUUAAGUUUGAUUAUGGGAUUUUCAUGUUUUCAGUUUAUUUUUCGCAUUUUUAUUUCAUAUAAAUUAUGCUUCUGAUUGAAUACUAUGGAGUCUCUCGGGCCUUCAUGGUUCGGGAUGCCUGUCACGGCCAGGGCCUCGGUUCGGAUCAUGACAUGGAUCUAGAACUUAAGAGUCGUGAGUGCUCGGAAGGUUCGAACACAUAUAGUGAUGUUAAGGUUAUGCUUGUAAACUAAAACACUCAGUUAUCUUCUUUGUUUGCAGGGUGAUUUUUAAAAUCUUAUAUUGAUUUUUAUAUUUUUUUAAAAUAUAAUUAUACUUGGUUUGUAUUGAAUUUAAUGGGUGCCAGAGCAUUAAUUAUUUGGCUAUAGGUCCACUGCCCUUCUGUCUGAUGUGAGGUAUUAUUUAAUCUCGAGACUAUUAUAUCCCACCAAACACCCCCUUAAAGUGAACAAAGGCAUAAUAUAUGAAUUUUAAAUAGGAUAUCAGCAUUAUGUGUGUGUUAGUUAGCGCGAAGCGCGGAUCAGUUACCUAGUACACUAAAAAAUUGGAUAUCCACCAAAUUAAUUUGAGGUAUACUUUAAACCAAAAAGUACUAUAAAUAGGUGAAUUAUUACACUAAACAAAUCGUCCAAACACAAGAAACUCAAACAACAAGCAUUUAAUAAAAAAGAGAAGCAAAUUACACCAAAAAAAUUCACACAGAAAAAAAUGGAGUCAUCAAAGAAGCUUGUUGCCAUGUUUCUUGUUUGCAUUGUUGUGUUAUCCUACUCUGUGCAUGUUUCCAAUGCUGCUGAUGAAGAUAGUGCAAGGAGAUUUGUGGAUAAAGCUCACGCAGAUUAUGCAGCUUGUUUCAAUGACUGUGACGAGGACUGUACUCAUCAAGGAUUAGGAUUCACAUUUUGUGAGGUUAAAUGUGACGAGGAUUGCACUGAUCAAUUGCUUAAAGGUAUAUAUACACACCAUUUACUUCCACCGUUUAAACAAAAAUGAUUUGUUUUGACCUGACACCUAUGUUUGAUUUUACCUAUAUAAUCAUUUACUCCCAUCAUUUAAACAAGAAUAAUCUGUUUUGACCUGACACGUAUGAUGGAUUUUACCUGUAUAUUCAUUUAUUCCCACCGUUU